rnacentral:rRNA from 1 species
ACAUAUUGUGAGCUCGAUGAGUAGGGCGGGACACGUGGUAUCCUGUCUGAAUAUGGGGGGCCCAUCCUCCAAGGCUAAAUACUCCUGACUGACCGAUAGUGAACCAGUACCGUGAGGGAAAGGCGAAAAGAACCCCGGCGAGGGGAGUGAAAAAGAACCUGAAACCGUGUACGUACAAGCAGUGGGAGCACGCUUAGGCGUGUGACUGCGUACCUUUUGUAUAAUGGGUCAGCGACUUAUAUUCUGUAGCAAGGUUAACCGAAUAGGGGAGCCGAAGGGAAACCGAGUCUUAACUGGGCGUUAAGUUGCAGGGUAUAGACCCGAAACCCGGUGAUCUAGCCAUGGGCAGGUUGAAGGUUGGGUAACACUAACUGGAGGACCGAACCGACUAAUGUUGAAAAAUUAGCGGAUGACUUGUGGCUGGGGGUGAAAGGCCAAUCAAACCGGGAGAUAGCUGGUUCUCCCCGAAAGCUAUUUAGGUAGCGCCUCGUGAAUUCAUCUCCGGGGGUAGAGCACUGUUUCGGCAAGGGGGUCAUCCCGACUUACCAACCCGAUGCAAACUGCGAAUACCGGAGAAUGUUAUCACGGGAGACACACGGCGGGUGCUAACGUCCGUCGUGAAGAGGGAAACAACCCAGACCGCCAGCUAAGGUCCCAAAGUCAUGGUUAAGUGGGAAACGAUGUGGGAAGGCCCAGACAGCCAGGAUGUUGGCUUAGAAGCAGCCAUCAUUUAAAGAAAGCGUAAUAGCUCACUGGUCGAGUCGGCCUGCGCGGAAGAUGUAACGGGGCUAAACCAUGCACCGAAGCUGCGGCAGCGACGCUUAUGCGUUGUUGGGUAGGGGAGCGUUCUGUAAGCCUGCGAAGGUGUGCUGUGAGGCAUGCUGGAGGUAUCAGAAGUGCGAAUGCUGACAUAAGUAACGAUAAAGCGGGUGAAAAGCCCGCUCGCCGGAAGACCAAGGGUUCCUGUCCAACGUUAAUCGGGGCAGGGUGAGUCGACCCCUAAGGCGAGGCCGAAAGGCGUAGUCGAUGGGAAACAGGUUAAUAUUCCUGUACUUGGUGUUACUGCGAAGGGGGGACGGAGAAGGCUAUGUUGGCCGGGCGACGGUUGUCCCGGUUUAAGCGUGUAGGCUGGUUUUCCAGGCAAAUCCGGAAAAUCAAGGCUGAGGCGUGAUGACGAGGCACUACGGUGCUGAAGCAACAAAUGCCCUGCUUCCAGGAAAAGCCUCUAAGCAUCAGGUAACAUCAAAUCGUACCCCAAACCGACACAGGUGGUCAGGUAGAGAAUACCAAGGCGCUUGAGAGAACUCGGGUGAAGGAACUAGGCAAAAUGGUGCCGUAACUUCGGGAGAAGGCACGCUGAUAUGUAGGUGAAGUCCCUUGCGGAUGGAGCUGAAAUCAGUCGAAGAUACCAGCUGGCUGCAACUGUUUAUUAAAAACACAGCACUGUGCAAACACGAAAGUGGACGUAUACGGUGUGACGCCUGCCCGGUGCCGGAAGGUUAAUUGAUGGGGUCAGCGCAAGCGAAGCUCUUGAUCGAAGCCCCGGUAAACGGCGGCCGUAACUAUAACGGUCCUAAGGUAGCGAAAUUCCUUGUCGGGUAAGUUCCGACCUGCACGAAUGGCGUAAUGAUGGCCAGGCUGUCUCCACCCGAGACUCAGUGAAAUUGAACUCGCUGUGAAGAUGCAGUGUACCCGCGGCAAGACGGAAAGACCCCGUGAACCUUUACUAUAGCUUGACACUGAACAUUGAGCCUUGAUGUGUAGGAUAGGUGGGAGGCUUUGAAGUGUGGACGCCAGUCUGCAUGGAGCCGGCCUUGAAAUACCACCCUUUAAUGUUUGAUGUUCUAACGUGGACCCGUGAUCCGGGUUGCGGACAGUGUCUGGUGGGUAGUUUGACUGGGGCGGUCUCCUCCUAAAGAGUAACGGAGGAGCACGAAGGUUGGCUAAUCCUGGUCGGACAUCAGGAGGUUAGUGCAAUGGCAUAAGCCAGCUUGACUGCGAGCGUGACGGCGCGAGCAGGUGCGAAAGCAGGUCAUAGUGAUCCGGUGGUUCUGAAUGGAAGGGCCAUCGCUCAACGGAUAAAAGGUACUCCGGGGAUAACAGGCUGAUACCGCCCAAGAGUUCAUAUCGACGGCGGUGUUUGGCACCUCGAUGUCGGCUCAUCACAUCCUGGGGCUGAAGUAGGUCCCAAGGGUAUGGCUGUUCGCCAUUUAAAGUGGUACGCGAGCUGGGUUUAGAACGUCGUGAGACAGUUCGGUCCCUAUCUGCCGUGGGCGCUGGAGAACUGAGGGGGGCUGCUCCUAGUACGAGAGGACCGGAGUGGACGCAUCACUGGUGUUCGGGUUGUCAUGCCAAUGGCACUGCCCGGUAGCUAAAUGCGGAAGAGAUAAGUGCUGAAAGCAUCUAAGCACGAAACUUGCCCCGAGAUGAGUUCU